CCUACGGGUGGCAGCAGUAGGGAAUCUUCCACAAUGGGCGAAAGCCUGAUGCAGCAACGCCGCGUGGGUGAAGAAGGUCUUCGGAUCGUAAAACUCUGUUGUUAGAGAAGAAAGGGCGUGAGAGUAACUGUUCACGUUUCGACGGUAUCUAACAAGAAAGCCACGGCUAACUACGUGCCCGCAGCCGCGGUAAUACGUCGGUGGCAUGCGUUGUCCGGAUUUAUUGGGCGUAAAGGGAACGCAGGCGGUCUUUUAAGUCUGAUGUGAAAGCCUUCGGCUUAACCGGAGUAGUGCAUUGGAAACUGGGAGACUUGAGUGCAGAAGAGGAGAGUGGAACUCCAUGUGUAGCGGUGAAAUGCGUAGAUAUAUGGAAGAACCCCGGUGGCGAAAGCGGCUCUCUGGUCUGUAACUGACGCUGAGGUUCGAAAGCGUGGGUAGCAAACAGGAUUAGAUACCCUUGUAGUC
rnacentral:rRNA from 1 species